GUCCACGCCCUAACGAUGUCAACUGGUUGUUGGGAAUUCACUUUCUCAGUAACGAAGCUAACGCGUGAAGUUGACCGCCUGGGAGUACGGCCGCAAGGUUGAACUCAAGGAAUUGACGGGACCCGCACAAGCGGUGGAUGAUGUGGUUUAAUUCGAUGCAACGCGAAACCUUAACCCACCUUUGACAUGUACGGAAUCCUUUAGAGAUAGAGGAGUGCUCGAAAGAGAGCCGUAACACAGGUGCUGCAUGGCUGUCGU
rnacentral:rRNA from 1 species